GCGGAGGAAAAGAAACCAACAGGGAUUGCCCCAGUAACGGCGAGUGAAGCGGCAACAGCUCAAAUUUGAAAUCUGGUCCCCUCUGGGGGCCCGAGUUGUAAUUUGAAGAGGAUGCUUUUGGCGAGGCGCCGUCCGAGUUCCCUGGAACGGGACGCCGCAGAGGGUGAGAGCCCCGUACGGUCGGACGCCGAGCCUCUGUAAAGCUCCUUCGACGAGUCGAGUAGUUUGGGAAUGCUGCUCAAAAUGGGAGGUAAACCCCUUCUAAAGCUAAAUACCGGCCAGAGACCGAUAGCGCACAAGUAGAGUGAUCGAAAGAUGAAAAGCACUUUGAAAAGAGAGUUAAAAAGCACGUGAAAUUGUUAAAAGGGAAGCGCUUGCGACCAGACUUGCGCCCGUCGGAUCAACCGUCGCUUGCGGCGGCGCACUCCGGCGGGCUCAGGCCAGCAUCAGUUCGUCUGGGGGGAGAAAGGCGGCGGGAAUGUGGCUCUUCGGAGUGUUAUAGCCCGCCGCGUAAUACCCCCGGGUGGACUGAGGACCGCGCGUAUGCAAGGAUGCUGGCGUAAUGGUCGUCAGCGACCCGUCUUGAAACACGGAC
rnacentral:sRNA from 1 species